ACCCUUAUAUAAAAAGAUUUUGCACCUAAAGCCCCGUUUCUGAGCUGAGCAGAGACCAUCACAUCGUAUAGUCCAGAGCUUAUCUCAUUAGCUCGAGUACCGUGUUCGGCUCAGGUGUCCUCACGAAUCUUCAGACACCUGCCAUCGUGCUUUGACUCAAACCUACUUUUGGUCCUCGUCCAGCCAUGUUUGCCACUGCUGUUAGUCUUCUGUGUCUUCUUGCCAUCCUGCCUCCCUCGAGUGCCCCCAAUGUACCAGAUUCUUCUUCAGCACUGGGACAAUCGUAUGAGAAGUCGAUGAAGAAUCUAGGACUAGCCACCAAAUCAGAUGAUAAGUCGGUUUUACGAGCUUCUUAUGAUGGAGGGACUUAUGUCUUGGGAGCUGAGGGGCCUGGGACUAAUACUGGGAGAGACGAUCGUCCUCAAAACUGGCAAUACCCCAGCAAUAGGGCUGAAACUGGGGCAGAAGGGUUUUCUGGGCCAUACGAGACCAAACCUUCUCGUGGAUCAGCCAAUUACGGCCAUAAACUUAGUAAGCGUAAGGGCAGAUUACCCAAUGGUGAAGCCUACAUGAGACCCGAGUUUGGGAAUAUGAAAACCCCGACAUCACCAUACUCAACUGAUAUUAGGCAUGCACCUCAGUGGGGUUAUCCAGUUGGCAGUUAUGGACAUAAGGAUGGCCGCAAGUCUUCACGAGGCCCAGCGUUAGGUGAUCAAUCAGGCUAUCGGAAUGGUUGGCCUAAAAUCACAUCAGGGCCACACCAACCAUUACAUGCAGAGGCUCAGGCUGGGACCUAUGGGCUAAAAGCAGGACUCAAACCUGGACCUCGGCCAGCAUACCAGGCUGUAGCCUACUCUCAGCAGGCUGCACUUGGGGCAAGCUUGGGAAUGAAUGGGCAGUUGGCAUACCCAAGAGGUUGGCCGAGCAUCAAGUCACAGCCAAGGCCGGUUUAUCAAGCUGAGGCACAAGCAGGGGAUUAUGGACGCAAAGCAGGCAUUAGACACAGCGCUCCAAGGGGUUUCUCAGCUUUUGCUGGUGCAGGCACACCUCGAGCUCAAAAAUCUGGGUCACAUCUGGCUUAUCCCGCUGCACCUUUGCCUCAAAAGGCUAGGCCAGGAUUAGCCUAUCCGAACUGGCCAGCUGGGGGUGUCAGAUCUAAUGUAAGCCCAGCACAAUGCAUGCACCAAAGCCAAAGCGCUAUUGGUCAGUUAGAUUGCCAAAAGUGGAGGGUGGAACAAGCUACGGUGGUACUGCAGAUCGAGGAACUGGUGCAGGACAGGGAAGGCGAGGAGAAAAUGGCUCAAAAUAUGAGCACCGAGCACCGCCCUACAUGUACAACUUGGGACAAGAUGACCUUCGAGUUCAUCCCAGCUCUGCUCCACUUAUUUCUGAGCCCCAACAUGGACGUGCUCACCCUUUUCCCCCAUUAG
rnacentral:lncRNA from 1 species